UACGGAGGGUGCAAGCGUUAUCCGGAUUCACUGGGUUUAAAGGGUGCGUAGGUGGGCUGGUAAGUCAGUGGUGAAAUCUCCAGGCUUAACUUGGAAACUGCCAUUGAUACUAUUAGUCUUGAAUACCGUGGAGGUCAGCGGAAUAUGUCAUGUAGCGGUGAAAUGCUUAGAUAUGACAUAGAACACCAAUUGCGAAGGCAGCUCACUACUCAAUCAUUGACGCUGAGGCACGAAAGCGUGGGGAUCAAACAGG
rnacentral:rRNA from 1 species